rnacentral:rRNA from 1 species
AUGUCCAUUAGUUUGCUAGACAUGUAUCAUUGGCAUGCCAUCAUUUAUUUAAAAUGUACUGUAUCUUCUAUGCAGUAUCUUCAUGGGAAUGUUUGCAUCAUAUUUAGCCUAAAAAUAAGUAAACAUAUCACUAAUUUUGAGCAUCAUGCACCUUAUCACAAUUUACUGGUCAUUUAUUUGUGUGAAUUCUUAAAAAUGGAUGGCUGGUAUAGUUAUAUCACCACCCCUUGUGCUCCAGCCAACCGCUGUUUUCAAUCGAGUGAUAUAAAUUAUAAUUAUGUAAAUCCAUUUCUUUGUGACUUAAUCUUCUUGCCAGCCUAA